GCUGGAGCGCACCCAGGCGCCGGCAGGAAGAACCCGAGGUUUCCAGCCAAACCAGCUUGCAGAGCCGCGAGUGGGAGCUGCCCGUAGAAAUGUGCCUCCAUCCCCGGAUCUUCACGGCCCUACGGUCAGCAGCUCCCACCCACCCAGCCCGGAGGGGCCUGUAAUGCAGAGGGGCUCAGGCAGCUGUUUCCAAACCGACACUCGCCACUCCUACAGGUAAAAGAGCCUUUUGCAGCGGAUGGGAAAUCGGUGAUAGCAGCACUUCUGCCACGUCCAGGUUCUCCUGGCUGCCCACGACCUUUCUGGGGUGGAACAACACAGCGUCAGCUGGGAUGGAGCUCAGAGCUCCAGGCUGUGUGCUGCAGCAUCACUUCUAACAAGAGCCAACAGCGGAUGAAGUUCCUCCCGUGGAGUUGGUACCUGGAUGAAAGCACCCAAUAGAAGAAACCUGUGUGAGUACCCUGGAACUGUGAGCGUUUUCCUCCCGGCGCUGAUGUGAUCAGGUGGGAAUCUGCCUUUCGUGGACGUGCUGCUGGAAGCUGAUCUCCUGUCCUGGCAGCACUCACAUCUUGCUGCUCUGAAACGUCAUCGUUUGCAUACCAGGGAUAAUAGCUAACGUUGCUUCCAUGGAUAACAUAAUCCCUCCACCCUCGUGUGUGUAUCCCAACCGUGGGAUGUGCUGUCAUUUCCCUCCUGGCCUCCCUAAGGGAAUAUUUGUAGGAAAAAGUCUCUGCUGCACUGGAAGCUGCUGCACAGAGGGGAUGGAACAAGCAGGCAACGCCAGCUCUUGCUGGGGAGGAAGGAACAGAAGCUGGAUAUGAAUGAGCUCCACUUUGCAAGCCUGCAGGUCUGUUAGCACUGCAUAUGUGCCCUGAUUGGAAGCAGAGAGAGGGCAUGAGUCAGACUGAUGGGUGGGAAGCGUUUUGCUCCUGUUUUCUAGCUCAGCUUUAACGUUCAAACAUAACCCCUUUUAUUCAUUGUAGCACAAACACCACAAACACCACAAACACCUGAAAUACUGCAGGUAAUCCGUUUUGAGGUCUGCCAUUACAAAGUGAACCCACAACAGUCCUGCUGGGGUAUUCACCCUCCAGCAAUUAGGUUUCCUCGGGAAGACACCUAAAGGAAAAGGCUGCCAUAAACCCAGGGCCCAGCCCGCUCACUCCAUCUAUGCCUCAUCCCUUCCCAGCCCAAAGCUGGAAUUCAAAAGGGAAAAGCACUCAUCACCAAAGCACUGCAGCAGGGACAGCUGCAAGAGAGCAGCCCAGCCCAGAGCCACAGCUCCAUGCACGAGCACCAGCAGAGCUGUGAUCCAACACCAGCGCUGCCUCAGGACUCACCCCUCAUCGCAGAGCACGUUCACAUGUGUGCCAAACAGAAAAUCUGUGGGUUGGAGGAUCCUCCCUGCAGGUGGGGCCUCUGGGGGACCACAGGAUUUCCCUGCAGGGAGAAGAGCAGAGUGAGCAUCCAUCGCAGUGCUUUGGCUGUGGGGCACUCGGCUGUAAGAAACCUACAGCUGCCACACCAUCCUUCUUAAUGCUGUAUGGAUUUCAUUAGGGAAAUCUCGUGCUUGGUCUUCAAUGCUAGAAAUCCUCCCUGCAAGUUGGCGCUUGUCCCAUGCAUAUGUUAAUGUCCAGCUGCAAACGUUAUGUGAAAAUCAAAACCCAUGUGUUUGUGCCAACAGAAAAUAAAGA